AAAGAUUUAGUUAAUUUAUAACCUAAGUAUGUCAAACUUAAAUAAUCAUUAUUUUGAUAAUCUUUA
rnacentral:tRNA from 1 species